AUGACUGGUUCGGUACGUCGUGUGUGUGUGUCGUAUGUGCAGCCAUCAGGCAAGGGCAUGACCCAAAUAAGGAGCCUUCUCACAAGUCACGGCCCAACAUCAAAGAGAACUCUUCCUUUCAGUGACUUAUUGCACCUGUCAUCCUUCGAUCGAGCGUGUUUGCCGGAAAUAAAGGUUGGGCGGACACCCUGCCUCGCCCUACCGAGAGCUCCGCCGGUGCUACCACUAAUAUCCUUGUACUGUAGUAGCUUCAGUAUUUCUCCCACUUUUUCUGCUACAUGUGGAAAUGUAGUUACAAUUGAGAAAGCGAGAAAUAUUUGUUUUGUGAAAAAAUUGACAUAUCUUUGUUAUCUGGAUAUCAAAAUUAUUGCAAAUUAUUGCUGA
rnacentral:rRNA from 1 species